rnacentral:snRNA from 1 species
UCGGUUUGUUGUCCGACCCAAAAA